rnacentral:rRNA from 1 species
UACGGGAGGCAGCAGUGGGGAAUUUUGGACAAUGGGCGCAAGCCUGAUCCAGCCAUGCCGCGUGAGUGAAGAAGGCCUUCGGGUUGUAAAGCUCUUUCGGACGGAAAGAAAUCGCGCAGGUAAAUAAUCUGCGUGGAUGACGGUACCGUAAGAAGAAGCACCGGCUAACUACGUGCCAGCAGCCGCGGUAAUACGUAGGGUGCGAGCGUUAAUCGGAAUUACUGGGCGUAAAGCGUGCGCAGGCGGUUUUGUAAGACAGGUGUGAAAUCCCCGGGCUUAACCUGGGAAUGGCGCUUGUGACUGCAAGACUCGAGUGCGGCAGAGGGGGGUGGAAUUCCACGUGUAGCAGUGAAAUGCGUAGAGAUGUGGAGGAACACCGAUGGCGAAGGCAGCCCCCUGGGUCGACACUGACGCUCAUGCACGAAAGCGUGGGGAGCAAACAGGAUUAGAUACCCUGGUAGUCCACGCCCUAAACGAUGCCAACUAGGUGUUGGGGAAGGAGACUUCCUUAGUACCGAAGCUAACGC